rnacentral:snoRNA from 1 species
ACAACGUGAUGAUAAAAGAAAACGGCGAUGCUUUUACUUGUGCUCCUUUUAGCUAUCUAAAAGGAAGCUACAUGAAGCGAAAUGAGCGUCAAAAGCGAGUAGUUUUCAAUCUGACAAAA